rnacentral:rRNA from 1 species
UACGUAGGUGGCAAGCGUUUGUCCGGAUUUACUGGGCGUAAAGAGCGCGCAGGCGGUCGUUCAAGUCGCGUGUGAAAGCCCCCGGCUCAACUGGGGAGGGUCACGCGAUACUGAUCGACUGGAAGGCAGGAGAGGGUAGUGGAAUUCCCGGUGUAGUGGUGAAAUGCGUAGAUAUCGGGAGGAACACCAGUGGCGAAGGCGGCUCACUGGACCGGAACUGACGCUGAGGCGCGAAAGCGUGGGGAGCAAACGGG